CAGUCGCCGCGGGAAUACAGAGGGUGCGAGCGUUAAUCGGAUUUACUGGGCGUAAAGCGUGCGUAGGCGGCUUUUUAAGUCGGAUGUGAAAUCCCUGAGCUUAACUUAGGAAUUGCAUUCGAUACUGGGAAGCUAGAGUAUGGGAGAGGAUGGUAGAAUUCCAGGUGUAGCGGUGAAAUGCGUAGAGAUCUGGAGGAAUACCGAUGGCGAAGGCAGCCAUCUGGCCUAAUACUGACGCUGAGGUACGAAAGCAUGGGGAGCAAACAGGAUUUGAUACCCGCGUAGUCCCUGUCUCUUAUAC
rnacentral:rRNA from 1 species